rnacentral:tRNA from 1 species
GUCCCUGUAGCGCAAUGGAUAGCGCGUUGGACUUCUAAUCCAAAUGUCGUGAGUUCGAACCCCACUUGGGAUG